GUGCUCACUUUGGUAGCACAUAUACUAAAAUUGAAAUGAUACAGAGAUUAGCAUGUGCUCUAAGCAAAGAUGACAUGCAAAUUCAUGAGCAUUCUUAAAUUUAC
ensembl:snRNA U6 U6 spliceosomal RNA